rnacentral:tRNA from 1 species
UCCCUUGUAGCUCAGUCAGUAAAGCAUCUGCCUGUAGUGCAGGAAACCUGGGUUCGAUUCCUGGGUCAGGAA